GUAAGCAACCACCAGAAUUUUAAAAUGAGCCUUAAAUAUAACAGGAAGCUAGUGUAAGGGGGCAUUGGAGGUGUGGCCAGAGAGGAAGUUGAGCCUGUAACGGGGUCAACUGGAAACGUGUACGGAGCAGAUUACAGUAGUCCAGGCUAGAGACGAAAGCGGCAUGGACCAGCACCUUGGCCAAAUCUGGUGUAAUAUGGAGCAGAUGUAAGCUAUGUUUUUGAGAUGGAAGUGGCAGGAUUUGGCAAGUGACUG